AUUGAACGCUGGCGGCAGGCCUAACACAUGCAAGUCGAGCGAGCGGCGGGCGGGUGAGUAAAGUAAGGGGACUGCCCGAUAGAGGGGGAUAACGACAGGAAACGGUAGCUAAUACCGCAUACUAUAGGAUAAGCCAUAUGGGAUUAGCUAGUCGGUGAGGUAAUGGCUCACGUAGGCGACGAGCCCUAGCUGGGUUGGGAGGAUGAUCAGCCACACUGGGACUGAGACACGGCCCAGACUCCUACGGAGGCAGCAGUGGGGAAUAUUGCACAAUGGGCGCAAGCCUGAUGCAGCCAGGCCGCGUGUAUGAAGAAGGCCCUAGGGUUGUAAAGUACUUUCAGUCGGGAGGCGUUACCGACAGAAGAAGCACCGGCUAACUCCGUGCCAGCAGCCGCGGUAAUUC
rnacentral:rRNA from 1 species